CGUCACACAAACAUGGCCGACACCUGGAUUUGCGGCGGCAGUUUUUAAUUUACUGCUUUUUUACUAUCAUUCUGUCUCAAAAUCCCUUCGUGUAAUACUAAAAGCAUUGGUUCUAGAGUCACAGUAUUGCUUAAUCUUGUUUUUUUCCCGCGUUAAUUGUUCCAAGUAUAAUUUAAAAUGUCAAAAACAAGUGUGUGACGAACAAGUUCAGACUAGUCAAACCGAAAUCAGUAAGAUCAACGGUCUUUCAAAUAUGAAUAUAUCUUAUUUAAUAAGGCUAGCUUUCAUGUAAGACUUUGUUUCUACAACACAAAUAACAGACUUUACGGUCAGUAUUGGGUAAGAUUCUAUAUGUUGUACACUAUUUUUAAAAUGUGAUUCUUUUAGAAGUUCUGUACGUUAAAAAUAAAAAUCAACCAUUCCCCUAAAUCUUUUUAAAUCAUUAUUCUGAAUCAUGUUUUCAGUGGAUAUCUAUUGAAUUUGCCAUCAAUGUUUCUUAUUAUGAAUUGUAGCAGUUUAAAUAUAUUUUGUACUUGCGAAACUAACUUUAAAAUGGUGUCUUUUUUUGCAACCUUUUUAACUUUAUACACAUGUAUUUCAACCAGUACCUCGAAUGACCCAAUAACACUGUUAAUAUCUAAAUAACACUUGUAGUUAAAUCAGUCAGCAUUUCAUUUUCAAAAUUACUUAAUCGCCCACAAUUGGCAGUUCUUUAUCGUAUUUUCAUCAUUUCACCACAAUUGAUCCCGAAUCCGGGUUCGUUCGCGCCCAUUCACGUUUGCACCCACUCAUGUUCGCCCCCUUUCAUUUUCGCACCCUACAUGUUCGCGCCCAAUUUUAAUUGGUUUUGUGUUUAAUAACUAUGUAAUCAAGUUUUGGCAAGUAGUAUUCUUAUAAGUAUAAUUGUUUUCAUGGUCCCAAAAUAAAGUGAGACAGCAUUUGUUUUUGUGUUGAAUAAAUCUUAAUCAUGUUUUGGAUAGUGUAUUGUUAAAAAAAUUAUAUUCCUUUCUAAAUAAAGUGGGAUUCUGUCAACGUUUUAUUUUGUGUUGAAUAACUGUUUAUCAUGUUUUGGUUAGUGUAUUGCUAUAACUUUUGUUUCAUUGAUCAUGACUUGUUUCAAAAUGAAGUGAGAUUCUGACUACGUUUCUUUUUUUUUUUUUUUGUGUGCUGAUUAAAUUUUAUCAUGUAUAGUAAUAUAUAUAUAGUGAUUGUUUCAUUAUUUCAGAUCAAGGGACAACUGUUAAAAACAUUAUCUUUUUGUUUUUCCUUAAAAUCUUCAAUCUUUACUCAUACCAAGCUAUAAAUACAUUCAGUAUUUACACGAAAGCAAUUAAAAACAACAUCAUGAUUUUCCAAUUAUUCAACUCGAAUUUGAAUUAAAAUUGGGCGCGAACGUGUAGAGUGCGAACGGACCUUGGGUGCGAACGUGUAGGGUGCGAAAGUAUAUUGGGCGCGAACGGACCUGAUACCAUUGAUCCCCAGGACAAUUUCCAUCAUAAUUUCAAUAUUUCAUCAGCCAUAAAUUUAUAUUAUUGACCAUGGAUGUAUAACUAAUGUUCAGGUCUACCUCCUGUUUUGAUUGAUAUUAUGCCUAACGAAUGGUGAAUACAUUUUCCUUUUUACUUGAUUUAGAUUAUACAAAAAGACACAUAAUUUUCAAAUAAAGACUUUAACUUUGAAGUAGAAUAUUGCGUUUUUUCACAUUUUUCACUUUAUUUUAUAAUCCUUUUUUUUUUAAGCAAGUACAUUUAGGUAAAGAUAUUUUUAGAUUGGCAAGCAAGAAAUACGAAAAUAUUUGAACUUGCAUGUAUAAUUACCACAAAAAUUAAACUUAAAUAGUAUAAAAAGACCUUAAAAUUAUAUACCUGUUUCACUCUUAAACUGGUACAGUAGACCGGAAAUAUAAUUCUUUAUUACAUCAACCUUGCCUGUCAGGUAAUCCAAUUACCCUCGUCGUGUGCUGUAGUGAUCAAAGUGGAUAAGGGCAGUUAAUUCCUCGUGUAGGGAGUGAGCUCGUUAUCACAAUAAAUUUAGGCGAUUUUGAGAGAGAUUACUCCUAAAUUCCUCCCAACAUUUUGGGAGGAAUAUCGGGAGUUUUUCAGAGUGACUCCGACAUUUUCCUUGGUGUAGGGUGUGGGAGAGUUGGUCCUUUAAAUGGUACUGUAUUCAAUAAUCAAUGUUUAAAGUCCCCCAAUAUAUACUAAUAUUAAAAUUUCAAGUGUUAUUCGGUCAUUACAAGUGGUAUUCGAUCAUUCGUGUUACCCUAUUUCAACAACCAAUGCAUAUUAUUGUUAUUUACCGCCAUUACUGGAUACCACAAAGGUUCCCAUGAAAUGUCUACAUCACAAUCUAAAUGUCUGAGUGACAUGGUCACACCACAAUUGAAAAGUGAUUUCUGUAUGACGUCAAUGGUUUAAGUGCUGAUUCCCAAAUAGCAAUAAGGUCUAUAAUUUCACAAUCUUAACUAUGAGAAGGGUAGCUUUUAAAUGUCUUGUUUACAUUCCUUGCUUAAUAUAAUGUUUUUUUUUUACAGGGGAAUCAGAUUUAGAACAGAUAUGAUUAUUAGCCAUAAGUAAUAACCCAUUAUUGCUGGUGCUUAAAAAAUAAAUGUAGUUAGUAGAAUAUUAUAAGGCCAAAUAAAAAAGUAUGUGUGUUUACUGUCACAUGCUGGAAAAAAAUAGGGAUGAUAGCUACAUGUAGGUAGAGACUUUUUUUUAUUUUUUUUUUUAAAUUUUUGAGGUUCGAAAGAAUGACAUUCAAAUCUUCCAUACAAGGUUUGAAGUGACAUACAUAUAUAAGUAUUCCAUGUGAUAUGAAAUAACAUACAUAUAAAUAUUCCAUAAGACUUGUGGCAUAAGGUACAAAAUAGCACACUUAUGUAUAUCCCAUGAUGAAUUCCUACAAAAUGGCAUACUAUAUAUUCCAUCAGUUACAAAUAAAUAUCUUCAAAGAGGUCCAUUUAUAUCAUUUAUGAAAUGGCUUUUUGCAAUGGUAUGAAAUGAUCAAGGUACAAAUUGAUUAUAUAUCAAAUCCUGGUUAAUGAUGCUCUGACAAAAAUGUUAGAAACAACAAUACUUGGUCCAGAUUCUCAUUAAAACGCGUAUAAAUUAGAUAUCACCCUGAAACCUCGGACUUGUUUCAUACUUACCAUGUUUACAAAUGUAUUUAUAGAAAAAAAAACAACAAUGGAAGAGGAAACUACAGUGACAUCUUCAUAUGUGUUUCGUGGUGUGGAAUAUAUUGUUACAAUGAUAGUGCAAGCAGGGAAUACUUUGUCAGUAGAAGUGGAAGAUAGACUAACAGCUGAUCAGUGGAGGGCAACAUUCGAUUCUGCUUGUAAGAGUGUUAAGGCGAUAAAAAAAAUAUGUUUGUUUGCCCUAACCCUACCUACCCAGAAAAUAACUGCCUACUCAAAAUCUUUUACUUUCCUGAUGUGAAAUUCAAAAAUAGUUUUGUUUUAAUCAGAUAUGCAUGAAGAGUAAAAUGGCUAUUGGUAAGGGUUAGGGCAAACUAAAAUAUUUUUACUUUUUGAAUCAUAGUGUAAGCCC
rnacentral:lncRNA from 1 species